GAAGUAUUUCGAGCCAGUGCUAGAAGACUCCUAAGAAGGACAGUAAGGGAAUCGUUGGAGGGGGCUUCUUCCCAAUCUCGUAACCCAGUCCAGUGUUCUAACCUCAGGGAUCAUCCCAAGACAGAAGAGGAGUCGGAGGCAAUAUGAAAGAUAAGCGAGCUUCUUGGGUUUUCCUUCAAAUGGGGGUAAAAAAUUCUUAAUCAAAAGGGUAUGUGAGUUGGAGUAGGAACUUCGCUCCAAUUAUUAAGGACCCUCUCAACCGCCUUUGCCUUGCGAGAUAACUUUGUGUAGACUCUGAAGGGUCGGUUACAAGGUGCGAUAGGAUGUUGAGGUGUAGGUCCUCCCUGAACCUAAUGCAACGAUGCUCAUCUAUAGAGAUCAGCUCUGGUGUGUAUCUACUCAAUCUGAAGAACUCGAGCUCAUAUUUCAUCAUUGGUCGGUCCCUUGGACAAAAUGUAUGAAUUGUUUCCUCAGGUCAUCGGUGUGAUCAUCACUGAUGUACUUUUUGAACUCAGAGAGAAACUGCUCCCAAGUCAUUCUCUCUAGCUCUAGUCUCAUCUCUAUGGUCUCCUACAAAUUUAUGGUGGCACCCUUAAGUAAGGCGGUGAUGCACUAUAAUUUACCCUUAGGGGUAAGAUGCAGAUGUAUGACGGUGCGGAGGGUUUCUUUGAGCCAUUGGUCCACCACUAUAAGACUAUCGUCCCCUAAGCCGUGGAAGUUUAAGGUCUUGUAUCUACGGAACCUCUCUACUUGGGACUCCUGAUACACUACUUUGGUUAGGGGUGUUGGUGGAGGAGGUGUUGCUGCUGAGGCACCAUGCAAGAAUAUAGAAAUCUAUCUAAGUACGAAGGUGAGGUCACUGAAGAAGGUCACCUUCUCGACCCCCUCAUCUACUGGAAGGUCCUGUUGGUCUGUAUCGGAGACGAACUCAUCACCGGUUACAGCUACUAGCAAGGCAUGACUCUCGCCUCUGCCAUCCUAGCUAUAAGUUAGGUUGUUUAACAUCUGAAAUUAGAAGGAAAAUGAGGUUAUUAUCGUCA